rnacentral:tRNA from 1 species
AUAUUAGUAGUGUAAACAACACCUCGCCUUUUCACGGCGGAAACGUAGAAUAUAUUACUCUACCUAAUAUA